rnacentral:rRNA from 1 species
AGAUUGAACGCUGGCGGCAUGCCUAACACAUGCAAGUCGAACGGGAGUAGCAAUACUCUAGUGGCGGACGGGUGAGGAAUACGUAGGAAUUUGCCCUUAAGUGGGGGAUAACCCGGGGAAACCCGGAUUAAUACCGCAUGACCUCGAAAGAGCAAAGUGGGGGAUCGCAAGACCUCACGCUUUUGGAGAAGCCUACGUCGGAUUAGCUAGUUGGUGAGGUAAUGGCUCACCAAGGCGACGAUCCGUAACUGGUCUGAGAGGAUGAUCAGUCACACCGGAACUGAGACACGGUCCGGACUCCUACGGGAGGCAGCAGUGGGGAAUAUUGGACAAUGGGCGCAAGCCUGAUCCAGC